GACGAACGCUGGCGGCGUGCCUAAUACAUGCAAGUCGAACGCAGUGGGGACGGGUGAGUAACACGUGGGUAACCUCCCAUCAGAGGGGAUAACACUUGGAAACAGGUGCUAAAACUGAUACUGGUGGAUGGACCCGCGGUGCAGUCGCUAGUUGGUGAGGUAACGUCUCACCAAGGCCACGAUGCAUACCCGCGCUGAUGUGGUGACCGGCAACACUGGGACGGAGACACGGCCCAGACUCCUACGGGAGGCAGCAGUCGGGAAUAUUCGGCAAUGGACGAAAGCCUGACCUAGCAACGCCGCGUGAGUGAAGAAGGUUUUCGGAUCGUAAAGCACUUUUGGCAGUGAGGCGGUAUCUAACCAGAAAGCCACGGCUAACUCCGUGCCAGCCGCCGCGGUAAUAC
rnacentral:rRNA from 1 species